GCCGCGGUGGCACAAUCCGGUACUGCGAGAGGCUCGAACCCUCUUGUCCGCAAGGACUUCUCAGUUCAAAUCUGAGCCGCGGCG
rnacentral:tRNA from 1 species